rnacentral:lncRNA from 1 species
GAAAAAAACCUCUACUUCCUGACUCUUAACUGACUCAUUUAGCUUGACAAGGCUAGGAUCCCUGUCUUGCUUCUCUUUCACCUCCGAAACUAGGGAUGAAUCUAAACUACUCUGAACACAUACACCACCCUCUGAAGAGUUGACUAAGCGAACACCUAGUCUAGCAAGCUGAUGAAUCUCCUGAGCUAAUUUCUUCUUACUAUCCUCAACAUGGGAAACACUACCCAUGGAUAGUCUACUGAGUGCGUCGGCCACUACAUUGGCCUUGCCAUAUGAUAAAGGAC